AUGGCAGUGACAGGGGGACCAUUGGUGAACAUCUGCCCCUUUGCAGAUGGGAAUGGAGACUUUCCCCAGCUGUAUGAAUCUGGGCUUCAUGAUUCACAGGCACAUGCUCGUGGUGGGGCAGGCAGAGGUGGACAGCUUGGGGACAAGCCAGCCUGCGUGGGACAUUAUCCAUUAUACACGCUCAGAGAACAUCUUGUGAGCCAGAGGGAGAACCAGCCACAGCAGUUCGGGGCCAGCAUCCCUGGUGAGGGUGAUGGAUAUUUGGGCCCUUUGUUUGCGCUGGCUGUUAACACCAGAGGAGAUGAGGGAUGGAAGCAGUUGAAAUGUGUAUCUACUUUGGCCGUCGGAAAGUGUGACGGAUGCGCCGGCAGACCAAUGGCUGAGGAUGCUGGGCUGUGCGUGGGUGUGAAAGGAAUGCUCGCUGCAAGAAAAGAUAAAAAAAAAGAAAAAAGAGCCUUAUCAAUGGUGUUUGAGUCCAAAGUGUGUGUAUUCCUUGGAGAAAGGGUUUCCUCAAUCCCCAGGGAUAAUGUUUUCCCUGCAAUGUGAAACUUUGAGGUUUCUGAAGCUUCAUUUUAGGGGCACUGGCACUGGGCUGGUGCUGCAGGCAUGGAUUUAACCCGACAAAGUGCUCAUGCAGGGGCACAAGCGUGGCCAGUGGCCAGAGGUGACUGUCGUCAGCUCCUCAAGGGAACCUCCUGGGAAAUGCGUUUUAUUUUUGCAGAGAUGCUUAUAAGGCAAAGGGGAGGAAAAAAAUAAGGCCCCACCUCAGUGCUGAGCUGCACAUCCCAGGCAGGAGCAGUGUCACUGCAAUGCUGGCAGCUCUCUCCGGGGUUCAUCCCCAUCCCACGCCGAUGAGUGGAAAGAUGCUGCUCCAGAGCUGAGCAGGAAGGUGGAUAUGAGGGGUCUUCUCCAGCUGCUGGCUUCUCCCUCUUCUGCAGACCCCUGGGGUUUGGGGGGCUCCAUGCACCCAGUUCUGAGCCCCACUCUCUUGAGGGGGCUGACAGAUAUUUCCAUGCGUCCCAGGAGGCAAACGUUCCAGCGGGAAGGAAGGAGGGAAGGGCUGGGACAUCCUGGGGGGUGCAGGAGGGGAGACCAGCCCUGGGAAACUCCUUGUCCAGCAGUGGAAGGGCUGGAGCUGUUUGGUUCCCAGCAAGCUGCCCUGGCCCCAGCCCUGCAGGAUCUCUCUUCAGCUUUGAAGUGGUGAUACUUUAAUUAAUAAAAGAAGUUAUUGUGACGAGGUGUUCUUCCCU
rnacentral:lncRNA from 1 species